GAGUUUGAUCAUGGCUCAGGAUGAACGCUGGCGGCGUGCUUAACACAUGCAAGUCGAACGGAACGUAACCGAGGAAAUUUUUCGAAGUGGAAUCAGUUACGUUUAGUGGCGGACGGGUGCGUAACACGUGGGCAACCUGCCCUGCUUUUCGGAAUAACGCCGGGAAACCGUCGCUAAUGCCGAAAGAUAUGAGGAGAAGGCAUCUUCUUUUCAUCAAAGAAUUUCGAAGCAGGAUGGGCCCGCGCCGGAUUAGCUGGUUGGUGAGGUAACGGCUCACCAAGGCGACGAUCCGUAGCCGACCUGAGAGGGUGAUCGGCCACACUGGAACUGAGACACGGUCCAGACUCCUACGAGAGGCAGCAGUGGGGAAUAUUGCACAAUGGGCGAAAGCCUGAUGCAGCAACGCCGCGUGAGCGAUGAAGGCUUUCGAGUCGUAAAGCUCUGUCGCAGGGGAAGAAAAAGAC
rnacentral:rRNA from 1 species